UAUUCAUCUGCGUGGAACAAUACACGAAAGUCGAGUUCCGUUAGUUAGUAUACCAAGCAUAAGCAACUACCCUGUGUACAGUGAAGUUAUGAUAUGUAGAUUCUUGUAGCUAGAAAACAACGAUGCGUUACGAGAUUUUAGACGAAGCUUACGAGGAACUGCGAAGUUAUGCUCAACGGACACGCUCUGGUGGAGUUUUCAAUGACGUAACCGUACGUGUUGGUGAAACAGACAUUCCUUGCAACAAGUUAGUCUUGGCUUGCUACUCUUCUUAUUUCGAACAUCAAAUUUACACCGACAAAGACUGUACGGAAAUAGUUUUGAAAGGAAACUUAUCGGCAGACUUGGUGGCACAUCUCAUUGAGUAUAUAUAUGGUCAUGAACUUAUACUUACAAAGGAGAAUGUUUUAGAUAUUUUGGAAUGCGCAGAUUUCUUGCAAAUAGAAGCGGCAAGAGAAGAUUGCUUAGAGUUUAUGACGUCUAUAGUUGAACACAAGAAUUGCUUUCAACUAUGUUUGCUCGGUUUGACACACAACAGUAGGAUACUUAUCGAUGCUGUAAACAAGUUUAUCUCCGCCGAAUUUAAAACCCUUCUUUCAACCAAAGAGUUCUCCUUCUUGUCUCUGUCGGAAUUACAAUAUUAUAUGGACAGACGCACCCUCCAAAACAUUACUGAGGAGAGCAGAUACAGCGCUGUGUUGGCUUGGGUAAAAGCUAAUCGUUUAACUCGAACACGCUACCUUCCUGUUUUGCUUGAAAAUCUUGAUUUUGGCAGGUUUUCAAACCAGUUUAUCCAAUCAAUAAUAUGCAGUGAGAACCUUAUACGAAAAAGUAAAAGGUGUCUUAAUCUGGUAAUAGACGAAGUACAGAAGUGGGAAAGUCGAAAAGAAGAUGUAGAUUUUAAAUUUAUGGUAUUGGGAAGCGCGAAAUCACCAAACACAAUACGAUCUUAUUCCCUUAAUGGUGCAGCUGAAGAUACUUAUCUGGUGUGUGACGCAAAGAUUGCUGUACCAGACAUCCUUUGCUCCGCUUUUGUACAGUACAAGGGUUUAUUAUAUAAGUUAGGUGGCCAGAGUGCUUCGAGUCAUAUGGAAACAUCUACAGUUUUUACAAUGUUUACUUGCCACAUGAAGGUUUCUGUUGUUCCAGUUAGUAUCGAUUCAAUGUGGUAUAGGAAACAGUGCGCAAGUGCCGCCGUACUAGAUGAUAUACUUUACGUUGUUGGUGGGUUCAACGCAUUAUUGCGACAUAUGAAUAUUGUUGAGUGUUAUGACUUCAAUCUCCGUCGCUUCUGGAAGCAUUUACCAGCUCUUCAUGAAGGACGAAGUGGUCACUGUUUGGUGGCGUUAAAUGGGUGUUUGUACUGCAUUGGCGGUCGAUGCGAUGAAAGAUACUUAGCUUCUGUGGAAAUGUAUGAUCCCAUGUUACGCAAGUGGUUUAAAAAAGAGCCGAUGAUUCAACCACGCUGCUGGUUUGCUGCAUUGGUCAAAGGGAAUUCAAUCUACUGCUUUGGUACGAAUCAACUAUAUAUAUAGUAGAGCGGGGUGGUAGCAAAGAUGGGAUAUCUGCGAAUCGCACGUUAGAGCGUUACGAUGCUGAUUGGGACAUGUGGACACUGUGUCAAAGUAUGAAACAACCAAGAGUUGGUCAUGCUGCCUGUUGGUUAAACGGAAGUAUCGUUGUAACUGGAGGGAUUGAUUGCGACGGAUCAUUUGUCAAAGAAGUUGAAACGUACAACCCAACCAACGAUGUGUGGACUGUUCACGGUACUAUUGAUUCUAACUUGUUCCUCCACGCAAUGUUUCCCAAAGAAGAUACUUCUGACGCAGGCGCACAUCAGUUGUCAGAGAGUUCGCAUUUAGACAAUAGGGUUCAGCUUGGGAGACAGUCGUCGCCGCCAUCGAUGCGGGAGUUUGAGUUUUUGGCAAAGACAUCACCUGGUUCAACGUUCCUUAGUGCCAGUGGUGACAAAUAAGUCGACCAAAGUUUGUAAAACGAAACUGCGAAUAAGAAGGUGAAUAAAAGCAAUAACCAAUAACAGAACUCCAUGCUAUAAUCACCGUCGCCCCCCCCCCCCCACGAGAAGAUAAUAAAGUUACUUUUAUCCAAUUUUGUGCUAUAUUUCUAAUUGAACGAUUCUCGUUGAAUCAUUCAGAAAUCGUCAACAAAUUUCUGAGUAAUCGAGCGAUGGUUAACAUUAAUUGACAAAUUAAACAGUUAAAAUAGUGACAAGAACUUGCCUUAUGUGUUUGGUCUUGAUUUUCUUCGUGUUUUUUUACUAAUAAAAUACUUCUCUCUACUAA